CUUGGGAUACCACCCUUGUAGUACUGGGACUCUAACCAUAGGCCAUGAAUCUGGUCUUGGGACACUGUCAGGUGGGCAGUUUGACUGGGGCGGUCGCCUCCCAAAAGGUAACGGAGGCGCUCAAAGGUUCUCUCAGUACGGUCGGAAAUCGUACGUAGAGUGUAAAGGCAAAAGAGAGCUUGAUUGCAAGACAUACAGGUCGAGCAAGGAUGAAAAUCGGACUUAGUGAUCCGGUGGUUCUGCGUGGAAGGGCCAUCGCUCAACGGAUAAAAGCUACCCUGGGGAUAACAGGCUUAUCUCCCCCAAGAGUCCACAUCGACGGGGAGGUUUGGCACCUCGAUGUCGGCUCAUCACAUCCUGGGGCUGUAGUAGGUCCCAAGGGUUGGGCUGUUCGCCCAUUAAAGUGGUACGCGAGCUGGGUUCAGAACGUCGUGAGACAGUUCGGUCCCUAUCCGUCGCAGGCGUAGGAAAUUUGAGAAGACCUGUCCUUAGUACGAGAGGACCGGGAUGGACGUACCUCUGGUGUACCAGUUGUUCUGCCAAGGGCAUGGCUGGGUAGCUAUGUACGGAAUGGAUAAGCGCUGAAAGCAUCUAAGCGCGAAGCCAACU
rnacentral:rRNA from 1 species